AAGGGAGACCUAAUUCGGGUAGAAGACGAAAAAGUAGUAGUCGAAACCAAGAAUCAAUCCCAAAAGGUCGGAACGAGGUAUGUGGCUUUCAAACUAGGUUCUGGGUUCACAAAAGACCUGAAUCAGGAACAAGGGCUAUUAGCUCAGGUGGUUAGAGCGCACCCCUGAUAAGGGUGAGGUCCCUGGUUCGAGUCCAGGAUGGCCCACCUGCACAGGUGGCAAAAACAAGAGAAACGAGGAAUCAGCACCUUAUCUUACUUACAUAGUAAGAGAGAAUGCUGGCUCUGAGUAAAGAGUCCAGAGGAACCUUGAAAACUGCAUAGAGCUAGGUGAAAAAGCCAAAAAAGAAGACCGCAA
rnacentral:tRNA from 1 species